UGGGGAAUAUUGGACAAUGGGCGCAAGCCUGAUCCAGCCAUGCCGCGUGAGUGAAGAAGGCCCUUUGGGUUGUAAAGCUCUUUCAGCGGGGACGAUGAUGACGGUACCCGCAGAAGAAGCCCCGGCUAACUUCGUGCCAGCAGCCGCGGUAAUACGAAGGGGGCAAGCGUUGUUCAGAUUUACUGGGCGUAAAGGGCGCGUAGGCGGAUAGAUUUGUCAGAGGUGAAAGCCCCGGGCUCAACCUGGGAACUGCCUUUGAAACGGUCUGUCUUGAGGACGGGAGAGGAUGGUGGAAUACCCAGUGUAGAGGUGAAAUUCGUAGAUAUUGGGUGGAACACCGGUGGCGAAGGCGACCAUCUGGCCCGUUACUGACGCUGAGGCGCGAAAGCGUGGGGAGCAAACAGGAUUAGAUACCCCCGUAGUCC
rnacentral:rRNA from 1 species